rnacentral:tRNA from 1 species
UUCAGCUUGGCAGAUAAAUGCAGUAAAUUUAGAAUUUACUUAUGAAAUACUUCAGCUGAAA